rnacentral:rRNA from 1 species
UACGUAGGGGGCAAGCGUUGUCCGGAGUUACUGGGCGUAAAGCGUGCGCAGGCGGUGAUGUAAGACAGGUGUGAAAUCCCCGGGCUUAACCUGGGAACUGCAUUUGUGACUGCAUCGCUGGAGUACGGCAGAGGGGGAUGGAAUUCCGCGUGUAGCAGUGAAAUGCGUAGAUAUGCGGAGGAACACCGAUGGCGAAGGCAAUCCCCUGGGCCUGUACUGACGCUCAUGCACGAAAGCGUGGGGAGCAAACAGG